rnacentral:lncRNA from 1 species
AGAUGAUGCAAUUUCUAUUGCACUCCACACUGCCCUUUCCCACCUGGACAAAAGGAACACCUAUGUGAGAAUGCUAUUCAUUAACUGCAGCUCAGCGUUCAAUACCAUAGUGCCCUCAAAGGACCCUGGGACUAAACACCUCCCUCUGCAACUGGAUCCUGGACUUCCUGACGGGCCGCCCCCAGGUGGUAAGGGUAGGUAACAACACAUCUGCCAUGCUGACCUCAACACGGGGGCCCCUCGGGGGUGCGUGCUCAGUCCCCUCCUGUACUCCAUGUUCACCCACGACUGCCACGACUGCAUGGCCAAGCACGACUCCAACACCAUCAAUACGUUUCCCGACGACACAACAAUGGUAGGCCUGAUCACCGACAACGACGAGACAGCCUAUAGGGAGGAGGUCAGAGACCUGGCCGUGUGGUGCCAGAAUAACAACCUAUCCCUCAAUGUAACCAAGACUAAGGAGAUGAUUGAGGACCGAGCACUCCCCCAUUCUCAACGACGGGGCUGUAGUGGAGCAGGUUGAGAGCUUCAAGUUCCUUGGUGUCCACAUCACCAACAAACUAGAAUGGUCCAAACACACCAAGACAGUCGUGAAGAGGGCACGACAAAGCCUAUUCCCCCUCAGGAGACUGAAAAGAUUUGGCAUGUGUCCUUGGAUCCUCAAAAAAGUUUUACAACUGCACCAUUGAGAGCAUCACUGCUUGGUAUGGAAACUGUUUGUGUAGUGGGUGAACCAAUACACUACAACCACUACACUACAACCACUACACUACAACCACUACACUACAACCACUACACUACAACCACUACACUACAACCACUACACUACUACCACUACAACUACUACACUACAACCACUACACUACUACCACUACAACCACUACACUACAACCACUACACUACAACCACUACACUACAACCACUACACUACAACCACUACACUACAACCACUACACUACUACCACUACACUACAACCACUACACUACUACCACUACAACCACUACACUACUACCACUACAACCACUACACUACAACCAAUACACUACAACCACUACACUACAACCACUACAACCACUACACUACAACCACUACACUACAACCACUACACUACAACCACUACACUACAACCAAUACACUACAACCACUACACUACAACCACUACACUACAACCACUACACUACAACCACUACAACCACUACACUACAACCACUACACCACAACCACUACACUACAACCACUACACUACAACCACUACACUACAACCACUACACUACAACCACUACACUACAACCACUACACUACUACCACUACAACCACUACACUACAACCACUACACUACAACCACUACACUACAACCAAUACACUACAACCACUACACCACAACCACUACAACCACUACACUACAACCACUACACUACAACCACUACACUACAACCACUACACUACAACCACGACACCACAACCAAUACACCACAACCAAUACACCACAACCACUACACUACAACCAAUACACCACAACCACUACACUACAACCACUACACUACAACCACUACACUACAACCACUACACUACAACCAAUACACCACAACCACUACACUACAACCAAUACACCACAACCACUACACUACAACCAAUACACUACAACCAAUACACCACAACCACUACACUACAACCAAUACACCACAACCACUACACUACAACCAAUACACCACAACCACUACACUACAACCAAUAAACCACAACCACUACACCACAACCACUACACGAUGUGUGCUUGGAAGCAUGCAUCUCUCCAAAGCACUGAUUCCCAAUACCCACUGAUUCCCAAUAACCAUUUAAUACCCACCGAUUCCCAAAACCCAUUUAAUACCCACUGAUUCCCAAAAC